AUUUUUCCUUCUCCCUAGUUUUUCCUGGCCAGUUAUGAGGCUAGAGUGCAUGAGUUAAAAUGCCAUUAUACAUCAGUUCCACAUACCACCACACCUACUCAAUUGUCCCUGUAGUAUCACAGUAUUAGGGCUUUUAUGCUUUUUAAUUAGGAAGUUCUUAUAAAAUUUGAGCAGUUGUUUGGUUAUGUUUUUAAUAUGAGCUUUGUCAAGAGGUUGAACUCUGUGUAGAGGUAGCCAGCAUAAACAGAUGGGGCCAUUUGGGUUAUUUCACUAGGGGCCAUUGAUGUAAGCAAUGAUGACCCUGAGGUAAGCACAGUCAGCAUUUGUCCCUUAGGAAGGGAACCCCUCUGAAUGUGAUGGGCAGAAGAAGCCAGGCAUCCCUCAGGAGGUGCUGACACAUGGGCAAAUGUGGUGGAGGAAUAUUGCUUAUUGUCAUGUACCAGGAGGAACCAGGUGCUGGAGAUCUUGUUUGUGAUACACUAAACACAGCCUUGUCCAAGGUAAGUUUGGUUAUGAGGAGAGGUCAUCUGAUGGAAAACUGACUGACAACUCUCCUCAAAACCAAAGCAUUUUGCCUUGGCCUCCUUCUAGCAAAGAGUGUCAUCUUCCAGGGUAACAGCACAGUUGUAAUAAUGAAUGAGGCUCCAAAGUCUCAUUCUCCCUGCUGGCUAAUGUCCCAGCACUGCAAUUCCUGGGUAGCAAAAAUCAUGAGUCAGCUCCUUCUCCCUUCCCAGCAACUUGCUUGAGCCCAGUCAGGUCAUGUUUUCAAACAUUUCUUUGCAAACAGGAGGGAUGGAAACUUCUCCUGCAGGAAUGAGAGUUGAGGUUUGUGUUCAGUGUCUUCGUUCCAAGCUGGGACUCGAAUACCAGCUUUACAUUUGUGAAACGCUGGAUGAAUCAGGAGAGCUGGUAGCAACAGAGAGUGUUUUUAUGUUUUUUGGGGUUUUUUUAUGUGUGUGGGGAUAGAGUCCUAUUUACACCCCAGGACUGAAUGCUUGUGGGUUUGAAAUUCCACCUCUGCUUUUGAAGUUCUUUCUAGUCUGAAAUCUAUUUUGAAAAUAAAAAAAUAAAAAUAUAAAGUGUAUUUAAAUGGCACAGCACAAUGAACAGACGGUUAAAACCUGUCCAUGACUUUUUAGCAUAACUCACUAAGUGUAAAAGUGGGAAGUCGGUUUUCUUGAGCAACUGUUGGAUGCUCCCCUCUCUUACACCAAAAUGUUACACUGAAUGGAGAGAAAAAAAAGGAAAAAUACUUCAGAUGCAGACAGCAAGAUGGUUUGGGCUAGCAAGAAGUAUGGCCAUAUGUCUGCUCAGAGGCAGGUGAAGUUAGAUUUUGUGGCACAAAUGAAGCGGCCUUGUUUGCAAUAUUUGAUCAGGAGUGUCUAGAGCUAGUUCAGGUGUCUGUAUGGGCAGAAAGAGAAAGGAAGGAUGAAUGCAGGAAGGCUGAAAUGUGACACUUUCCAUUCCUUGGCAGGGCAGCCUGCAAACAACUGCUCCCUGAAUAUUCCUGUCUUUGACUCUUUAAUGAAGAGGUGGUUGUACAGUUUCUUUUUCAUGUAACUUUUAACCAAGAGAAAAGAGGGAGCAAGACUUCAUGCAAACCAGCUCACCUUAGGCUGAAUGAAUAAUGUAAGAGCACCAUUGAGCCUGAAACAUGUGGCAUUGUUUACUUGUGCCACAGUAAAUGAUUCAUGUGGAAAGCUGCAUUUGAACAAAUGAGAUUGAUGAGAUUUUUACAGGCUAUUUUUGUGUAAUUUAAAACAGUGCCUAUACUUGAUGGUAAAAAAGAAAGAGGAAGAUGACACAGCUAGUGCUCUCAACUUUUCUUGUUCCUGAUUCAGUCUUUGGCCAUUCCCUGCCUCUGCUCCAGAAAGCCAAGGGUUCAGAUGAAGAUUGGAAGGAGAAAAACAGAAGACUUUGAUCUUGAUUACAGCAACAGAUUCAGAGAUAUCAGAGUUUACUCUUCAACAUUAAACUUUGGGCUCUUAAUACCAGGAAAGUUGGGUGGUGUUGGCAGGGAGAAGAAAAGAGUUGACUGCAGCCCCUGGCUCUCAUGGUUGAUUUUAACCACCUGAAUGGACAACAUGGCAGGGCACAGGCAAUCCAACAAGUUUCUGAAGACUGGCAAGAACUAUUUCCUGACACUGCAGAUUCAUGAGCCAAUUUGGUAAGAUGUGUAGCCACUGGAUAAUUUUCAAAGGCUCCCGGGCUCCGACCUUUGGCUCAGACUCCCACUGAUGAUGGAGAGCUCAAAGGAAGAAUACCAACAUCUUUGUCUUCUCACAGAGAGUGAGAUUCAGCAAAUGGAAGAGGAACACGAUAUUUCUGGAGUUUGUCAAUAAACCUCUAGGUGAAACAAAAGAAUUAUGUUUGCACUUCAGGUCAGAUCUGCUGAGAAAUGCCCUCAAACAUCAGUACAAUGGAGAAAUGUAUUCAAGAACAUUUCAUCCUUGUGAAAAUAUUACCCUGUUACAACAGCCAAGGUCACUGAGACCCAGAGUGAUCUUCUGGUCACAAAAGUUAAAGAUGCCUGGCGGCUACCAUAAUUAAAUUAUUAGUGUUAGGAGAAUAGGGAAAGCAGUUUUCCCACAAAUAUUUAUUUGAAUUUAAAAGUGACUUUAGACAUUACUUUGGUCAGAAAUCCUCUGUGUUCUGGUUGUUGUUGUUUUUUUCUCCUUGAAAACAUUUAGACACUGAAGCUGGAUGGGAGCACCCAGGCCAUCCCAGUUUCCACAGCCUUCAGCUUCAGCCCAGCUGAAGAACAAAAGCAACAAUCUCAGGUCUGGUCAAACACAGUGAGCCUUUUGGAUGUUUGCAGCUAUCAGUUUGCAUCUCAUGAACAAAAUCCAGGCAAUUAUCUAGGCGAGUUAACAGAAAGAUAAGACAAGAAAUGUUCAAUUCCCACCAGGGAACAUCUGUAGGCAAACCACCAACAUAAAAGAAUAUUAACAUUAGGAUAAACUACCUUGAUAAUCAUUAGCUACUUGUUUACAUCUUUAAAAUCUUUAAAAAUCUUUAAAUUUUAUAUUGCUUGCCCAUUUGGAAAUGUUAAUUUGUUUGCUCUAAUUUCUGCUUUUUGGAUUUUGGUUAAUUUUCUUUUUUUUUUUUUCCCUCCUGAAAUACUGAGGAAGCAAGUCCAUAGGCAAGUACACACAAUAUCCAAAAACCUACUAUCUCAAGGCCUCAGCACAAGGUGGAAAAUAUGUCUUAGACUACUCUUUUUUUUUUUUGUGGUUCCAAUUACAUGAAAAUGUACAACACUGAGUACCAGGGAAAUCAUGAGUUUACCACAAAACACUCUGCACACACUUGUGUAAAACUGAAGUACAAGAGGUGGUAAAAUGAUAGGUAUAGUAUAGCAUAUACUGCAAUGCUGUACUUUGGAAAACCAUUCUAGGUGUUUAACAGUUUUCAAUUGUUGUUUACAAUGCAGCUAUACAAAAGUAAAAAAAAACCCAAAACCCAAAUAAACCAACCAUAAAUGGCAAAAACCC